GUAAAAGCCAAUUCAAGACACACUGUUUUUAUGUUCACUUUCUAAUACUUUUGUCCUUUAGCAAUGACACACGUGGGCACUGAGGAAUGGUCCUACAGCAGGCCUGCGUCAGCCCCAUGCUUGACUCCACACAGCCACCUGAGAAGGGAGCUAGGGGCUGGACUCGUGCACAUGGCAGGGAACUGCAAGGGAACUCUCCUGACCAAGAGGUUAGAGCUGAGAGGUCAAGCCAGGUCUGUCUGAGUCUCACGCUGUACCUCCUACUCGGUGGACCUUUCUCAUCACAGGACAAAGGUGCUGCCUUCUCCAACAGAGAUACGGUUAAAGGGCAAACACCGCUGUCCAACACCUGGCUUUGGAGAAGAGGCUAGAAGGGACUCAAGCGUGUAAGAGGAGGUAGGGCUGCGGGCCUGACCUUCCACAGGUAGCCCUGGGCAGUAUCUUCUCAGGGCUGAAUUCAAAUGGCUCAGUGACCAACCAGACGCAAAGCUCAUCCUUAGACCAAGAAGCCCGCCUGGCUCCACGUUCUCAAAGUAGCUCUUGGCUGCUGCUAGGAGCAAGUACCAUCAGAGCAACUCAAGCAAGAGAGCAGACCCCAGAACAGGAGAUGGGGAGGGCAGGACACUCAGCCAGGCUGCUCCCUGGGAAGCAGGGCAAAGGCGGCCCUCAUCCCUGCUCUGCAGCAUGCGUGAGGGGCUGAGACGCAGGAGCCCCAGCCGCCUGACAGUUCUCAACCACCCAGCCGAGACAGCCGUGUGCCAACAGACAAAGGGAUGUGUGACGGACAGCAGCAACAACAGGCAGGAUUUCUCCUCCAACAUCACUGCUCACUACAAGUUCUUGAAUAGCUGUGUGCUUGCAGAUCCAGAAAGGUGCACUGUUAAAAGCUAAAGAUCAUAUGCUGAGUUUUUCUUUGACUGGAGGAGAGAGAGACAAGGAGAGAAGGAGGGAGAUGUCUGGAAUUUCUUUGUUCAAGCAGACAACUCCCUCUGAAGAACAAUUCUCAAUCAGAAAAAGUUAUAACAACUUUAUGCUUUCAUCUUCAAAUUUACUUUGUGGAUUUUGUGUCAUCCCAUGGCCCUGAAAGACCCUGCUCAAUAGCCCUGGAAGUACAGCGGAGAGUCUACCCCUAGACAAGGACCAUAACUCAAUACUUCACAAAAAUCAUCACGUGAGUAAGAAGCUGAAUGUCAGCCACAGAGAGACUAAGUCAAGUCCUUGGAGGGCAAGAACCACACAUGCUUCCUGCCUCCCCCAUCCAGCGCUACCUCGUGCGGAUGUUCCUGACUCCACGUGGAAUCUUCCCUGCCAGAAAAGCAGGGAGUGAGGAGUGCAGAGUACCCAUUCCGAAGUCCACACGCUCCCGCACAUUUGGAAAGUGCUAAGUCCUCAGAGGGAGCUUUUAUAAGGGAUAUAACGUAGAAACAACCAGCUUCCAAGUCACUCCUAACUUCCCCAACAGAGAGAAAAGUUAUCACCUUCGGGCGAGAGCUCAUGAAGCUGCAUAGAGAGAAAGGAAGUAUGUAUGAAUCAGACCUAUACUAGCAUGGUUAGGCCAUCUGUGGGGAAUAAAGGCAUGGACCUAGGUGGGACCUAAACCACCAUUCAGGCCUCUGCUUUGAUGAGCUAUCUACUCCAUGUUCCAAAUGCCCUGCCGAGUUCUGGAGUGCAAUCCAUUCACAAAUUGAGAGCUCUGUCUACAAUGCUGGGCAAACAGUAUGGAGCAAGUGUGGGCCUUCUCAAUGAAAGGCCUCUAUGUCACCUGAGACAAGUAUCUGCUCCAUGGAAUCCUCUGAAUACUCAGCUCCUCUACUCUGAGCUCUUAGCACUUGCUGCCUCUACUUUUUCUGCCUUGUCACCCAUUUGAAGUUGUCACCCUCUUCUUUUUAUGUCCUGUGUUUUUACCUUAUCAUUCAACUAAAUCUUAAGUUUGUAUCCUCUCAUACUGCCCAGCAUGGAACAUGCCCAAAACAAAGGUGGCUUCACAGACUGGCCGGAGUAAGUGUGAAAACCAGCAAAGACAUAUCAAGACCUAACUUAGACAUCACUUAUGAUUCAAACAUCUUCACCAUUCCCCUCUCCCACAGGAAUGCUGUGUACGUAACACAUUCUCUCCUUCUCCACGAACGGCACUGGGCUGAUAUCAACAGGAGUGGUGGAGAGCAGCACGAGACCCAGAGUAACUCACAACCUAGCGAAGGUUAAGAACUCACCCAAAGCAGGAUGCAUGCAUGUACACAUGUGUUCUCUCCACCCCACCCCACCCCUGUUAGUAGGUUGGUGUAUUUACUCUGGUCAUGACCAGGAACCACUUUGGUCAUCUGAAAAUAUUUUACAAAUCCCUUUUUCAAAUUCCCAUACCUAUCAGGGACAGUCCAAGAGCACAGUCUGGGGUACACAAUGCAGACAGGGUGUGCUGCUCGCCCCUCGCAUUCACACUGCUCUGACAGAGGCACCUCCUUAGUCUGCGGGCCUCCCUGGUCCUAGCCCUCCUCUCUCUAGCUUCCUCCUCCCUCUCAUGCCAAGCCUGCCCGUCAUCAUGAGAACCAAACCACGCAGAUACUAAGUAUGGUCCAGCCUACACAGGAAGUGGAUUUUUACAGAAAAUCUCCUCCCCGGGUCUCCUACUGGCUAGGAAGCUGGAAAAGCAAAAAGCAUCAACAGGGGAUCAGUCCUAAAAACUGAGUGUUUUAUAAACUGUCUGGGGAGAGAGAUGAGUGAAGACUGAACAAGCUUCCCAAACUACUGAUGGGGUACAGAAAUGAUCGCAGUGGACCGAGCAACCGUCCAUGGCUCCGUUCCAACAAGGAGCCACCUGGAGGCCACACCUCAGUAGGGACAGUCUGGAAGGCCCGUGGGAAGACUGAAUGGAUGACAGUUAAUGAGAAACUUCAAAGAGCAUGGCCUCAGCCCUUCAAGUUUGCUGCGGCUGAGGCAUACAUGCACGUGUGCCAAACCCAGAUGCCUGUGACCCGAGGACAGCGCAAAAUGCACCCAACUCGCAAACCACUGAGAAAGCAUUUUAAUUUUGCUUUGACCAUUCCAACAGUAUGGUGGAGUCCACAGCACCUCACGGCACCAUGGAAGAUAUCUACGGUCAGGCAUGGCAGGAAGAGACUCUUGCUGGAUGAUAUACCAAGUUGCUCAGAUUCUGGAUGAGGAAACGCUGGCAUUAGUCAAAAAGACUGAUUUCAAUGAAUUUAAAUUCAUUCCACACAACUGAGUUACAUCAGUGUUUCUUAUGAGUAUUUAUAAAUAAUUCGCUCCGGUAACAGCAAAAGCCAGACCAGAAAAAGUCACUUCAAACAUACAAGGCUUAAUUGACAUAUCCCACCUGAAUUUCCUGCUCUCAACUCCUUCUGUGAUCAUUUUGAUUUUUUCUGCCCCUUAACUGGGACACUUCACUAGCCUUUUAACCUCUACGCCCAUUGCCUCUUAGAAAGCCCUUUGGCACUUGUGAAGUGCAGCCACCCCCUAAGGACACAGCCCACCCCUCUCAAACCAAUCCUGGAGUCGGUUCUCAAAAGUAGGGUCCAUCCAAAAGAGGCUGACUGCUUCCUACUAUUCCAACUCUACAACGCCUGUCCUCAGUCUUAGCAGCACUUACCAAAAGCCAAGGCCAACAGAUCCAUCCAAGGUCUCCACCAACCUCCUCCUCUACACACUCAAUCUCAGAGCUGGAAGGAGAUUCAAGGCUUACUCAGCUCAAAAGAUGAGAAAACUGAGGAGCAGGGCAGGCAGUGUAGCUUCAGGCUACUCACCCAGGCUACAGUGGAGGAGCUCUGAUUUAUGCGUCUGCAAUAAACAACGAUGCUUAUGUGUCCACAAUUUUCAUGCAAUUUCCCCUGAUCCUUAGGCUAGGUUGCCACCUUUACCUUCCUGCCAUUUGAUUAUCUAGGCCACUUGCCUCUCCAGCCUGGCUUGGUAAUGGAAAGGCAGUGAUGACAGGUCUGCAUUUAUUUGAACAUACUGGCCAAACUUGAGAGGGAGUUACUGGAGGUUGAAGAGCUGGCAUAGCAAAGUCCACACUUCGCACAUUUAAAAAUGUGCUGCAUAUACUGAGCACAACCUCAGCCAGCUCACACUAAACCGCUCACAGACCAUGCCCCUUUUAUUUACUAACUGAAACGGGGUCUGAACAUCAUGCCCAGUACCAUUUCUCUCUAAUAACCACGGGAUGCCUUCUCAUCUCCUGCAGCCCUUUAUCUAUGCUCUGAGGCUUUCCAAGAAUUAGGAUAACAGAGCCCAACAAGAUCAAGUUGUAGUUAUCCAAAGAAGCAAAAUAAGCCUCCCAGUGCAACCAAAUCAAGCUGGGCGUCUGAAGUUCCCUCAGUCUCUAACACUAAGCACGAAGUCAGGAGUCUAUGACUGAGGUCUGGGCCCUUCACACUCCCUCACAAUGAGCAGCAGCCGCUGAACACCGUCACUGCUGUACAGUCAUCAAUAAACCCCAAAGCAAAUUAA